ensembl:misc_RNA Vault Vault RNA
AGAUUGGCUUUAGCUUAACAGUUCCUUCUACAACAUAACAAUUUGGAAUCAAACUGCUGCUGGGUUGAGACCCACAGGCACUAACCAGCUCUUGA